UACGUAGGGUCCGAGCGUUGUCCGGAAUUACUGGGCGUAAAGGGCUCGUAGGCGGCCAACUAAGUCAGACGUGAAAUCCCUCGGCUUAACCGGGGAACUGCGUCUGAUACUGGAUGGCUUGAAUCCGGGAGAGGGAUGUGGAAUUCCAGGUGUAGCAGUGAAAUGCGUAGAGAUGCGGAGGAACACCGAUGGCGAAGGCAGCCCCCUGGGCCAAUACUGACGCUCAGGCACGAAAGCGUGGGGAGCAAACAGG
rnacentral:rRNA from 1 species